rnacentral:tRNA from 1 species
AGCUCAGCAGGUAAGAGCACUGGCUGCUCUUCCAGAGGACCUGGGUUCAAGUCCCAG